GCUAAACGACAGGGGAGCUGGCGCACGCCGGCUGAGAAUGGGCCCAACGCGGCCCUGACCCAAUAACCUGAUCCGGGUAAUGCCGGCGUAGGGACCAGAGCACCGCAUGUU
rnacentral:ncRNA from 2 species